CCUACGGGGGGCAGCAGUGGGGAAUAUUGCACAAUGGGCGCAAGCCUGAUGCAGCAACGCCGCGUGAGGGACGAAGGCCUUCGGGUCGUAAACCUCUUUUAGCAGGGAAGAAGCGAAAGUGACGGUACCUGCAGAAAAAGCACCGGCUAACUACGUGCCAGCAGCCGCGGUAAUACGUAGGGUGCGAGCGUUAUCCGGAAUUAUUGGGCGUAAAGAGCUCGUAGGCGGUUUGUCACGUCUGCUGUGAAAACUGGAGGCUCAACCUUCAGCCUGCAGUGGGUACGGGCAGACUAGAGUGCGGUAGGGGAGAUUGGAAUUCCUGGUGUAGCGGUGGAAUGCGCAGAUAUCAGGAGGAACACCGAUGGCGAAGGCAGAUCUCUGGGCCGUUACUGACGCUGAGGAGCGAAAGCGUGGGGAGCGAACAGGAUUAGA
rnacentral:rRNA from 1 species